UUUUUCUUAGUUCAUGAUCUUUAUGUGUAGCAUCUUUCACCCGUUAUCUCUUAUGUUCUUUUCCAAAUACAGGCAGGCCUUCCACAUUGAUAGACAUGUUUCUAAGCUGUACACAAUCCGGACACCAGUAAGUUCACUACACUGCCUGCCAAUGAUCAACCGUUUUUGCACUUUUUUCGUCUGUGAAUUUGUCAGUUAAGGAUUUAUUUUUUCAAGUUUUCCCGUCCUUCAAUAGUUUCGUGGAAGUGUAAUUAUGGGAUGUAAAUACCUUUUGCUAGGAUUUAUUUUUUCAAGUUUUCCCGUCCUUCAAUAGUUUCGUGGAAGUGUAAUUAUGGGAUGUAAAUACCUUUUGCUAGGAUUUAUUUUUUCAAGUUUUCCCGUCCUUCAAUAGUUUCGUGGAAGUAUAAUUAUGGGAUGCAAAUACCUUUUGCUCCAAUUGUCAAGGAGGAAAUUAAGAAUAAAAAAGAGAUUUCCACUUUAGUUCGGAGAAUCCUUUGUACAUCAUUGACUGGGUGCUCCUCCCUUUAGUUACUAGCUCUUUUUUGCUAGUUUGCCUUUAGUUUGGAUGUAAUCAGCACUUUCUUAGCGCUUUUUUUUUUUAACAUCAAUAGUGCUUACUACUUCAAAAAGAAAAGAAGGAAUAAAAUGAUAUUUCCCUUUUCAGUUUGCAGGAGUUUAAUUAUAUAAUUAGCAUUUUAAUUUUUAAAAGAAAUUUGCACCCCACAAAUUUCUAUUUGUUCGAGUAUGUAAAUAAAAUACGAUUCAAGUAAUAAAUGCCCAAAUAAAGUAAAAGUGUAUAUGAACCAUCACAAAUCAGCAAUUUAUAACAUGAGUUAUUAUUAAGCAAAGGAAGUGAAAAUAUAUUAAUACUUGUAUUAGCUUCAUAGAGUGCUGCUUACAGAAAUGGAAAAGUAGGCAAAGAUAAUGUAGGAACACGUGUAAUAUCAUCACUAGGAGAUGAGAAAGGUGAAGGAUUGGGGGUCUGGAAUUUAAAAGUACAUAAGAGCUUGAUACUCAAAUGACUUUCGAGAUUCUACAUGGAUGGUAAUAAUAUCUGGAAGAAGCUGAUGCUAUAUAAAUAGUAAAGAGGUUAGGCGGAGUGCUCCUCCGCUUCAAUCAAAUGCUAAAAGUGAAUUUUGGAAGGAUAUUUGUAGGCUCUGGGAAGAGUAUAUGAAAUAUGCUAAAUUGAAGGUUGAGAAUGAGUGCAAAAUAAAUUUCUGGACAGAUGUUUGGGCGGGAGAUGAAAGCCUGAAGAAUAGAUUCCCUUGUAAUUGUUCCAUUAAUAAGAAUGGUACUACUGCUGAAUUUCAUUCAGAUUCAGGUUGGCGGAUCAAUUUAGAAGGAAUUUGAAUGACUGGGAACUGGAGGACUUUUGUCAGAUACUUCAACAACUGAACUCAGUCCAGCUUGAUCGGAGUCAGGUGGAUUCUUUGCUGUGGACAGUCAAUAAAGGUAAAAAAAAUUCAGUUAAUAGAUGCUAUACUACACUGUUGAAGCAGUCAGGUAAUUGGGAUAAUACUCGGUUUUGGAAAAUGAUUUGGACAAGAAAAGCUCCAGUGAAGGUGGUUUGUUUGGGAUGGACUGCAACCCGUGGAGCAUAUUUAACUCAAAACUAUCUGCAGAAGAGGGUUUUUCUUUGUGCAACAGAUGCUACUUAUGUGAAGAUGACCUGGAAUCAAUAGAUCAUCUAUUUCUUCACUGCAGUUUCUCUAGACAAUGUUGGAACCUAUAUCUAAACUUUCAUGGCAUCUUAUGGGUAAUGCUCAGAGAUGUAAGAAGUUUAUUAGAAAGCUGGAAAUUCCAAAGGGUUCCCAGAAUACUGAAGCAAAUUUGGAAGACCAUUCCACUUUGCAUCUUUUGGACCUUAUGGCUGUGGAGUCGAGAAUAAAUGCUUGCAUUAUCGAUUUUCUGGUGUAAUAGCAAUCUGUUAGUUAAUAUGGACCAAUACAUGGAUUUUCUGGAAUUGUAGGAGGAAAAGAGUAAUAACUUGUCUGCUUGGUCGUUGUAUGAAUCCUGUUUCCAUUUGUACCAGCUUGGUACUUUUUCAAUAAAAUCUUACCUUAUAAAAAAGAAGUAUUGUCACUAAGGUAAUUAGAAUAACAAGUAGGCUUUUGCACCUAAACAUCAGAUUAACACAUAGUAAACUAAACUGUUUCCAUUGACCUGUUAAGAUAUAUUAUCACAUAUUAUUUGUGUGUGUUUGAGUAUUUCAGGAAAUAUGAUCCACAACUUUUUGAUCCAGUGAAUAUUGAAAUAAAGUUUUUAAGUUAUCAGAAGUAACUUGUAUUAUUUCUCAAGGGAUGUGCUAGUUGGAUUUCUAAGAUCCUCUCUUGACAUGCUACAGGCAGUCAAACAGGAUGCCAGUUAGGUUAUUAAGGAUCAGGAACAAAGUAGUAACUGAGACCAAAAAAAUUUAGGAACUAAUGUUGGCAUAUUCUGCUUAAUAGGUGAUCUAGCGUUUGCACUGAAGCAGGUGGUUGGGGCAGAAUUUGGAGAGUUAAAGAGGAUUCUUUCAGGUGGAUGUGAGUAGGGGUGUCAAAAUCAAGCCCAAUCCGUCCAACCUGCCCAACCCGUUCAACCCGUCCAUUUAUUAGCUCAACCCAUUUCUGCCCAAUCCAUUUCAGCCCAUUAAGUAUUGGGUUCAUAUGCAACCCAAAUUGACUCAUGAGAAAUUUUGUCAAAAUAUUUUUAAUUUUUUUUUAUAUGUUAUACAGUCAUAAUAAAGAUUUUUUUUUAUUAGGUACUAAAAAUCUAUAAAACAACCAAUAAAACAAUUAAAUCCAAGUAAGAAUUGGGUGGGUUGGGUUAUGACCCGCAUUUUAGCCCAAGUAGCUUUUGGGAGGGUCAAUAACCUGCACAUUUAUUAAUUCAGCCCAAUUUGACUGCCCAAAUUCAGUCCAACCCGCCCAUUUGACACCUCUAAAUGUGAGUGUUCCCUCUAUUGUAACGGGUAUUCCUAAAGGACAUUCUGAGGCUUGUAGCCAUCACAACAUGGCACAAAAUCAUUCCCUGGUAGUAGAGGCUUCACCAACCUUGAUGUCUGUUCAAUUUCAUUUUCUUUUUGGUUCAGUUUCAAGCUCAUAAUUAUUGGAUUAUGCCUAGUUAUCUUUUCCCUCUAGCCAACCUUUGAAGGGAACACGUUUCUUUUUGUGAGUGAGGUGGGCUUGUGGAAGGAAGCAGUUAGGAAAGAGAAGUGUCAAGCUUACUAGACAUCUCUUGUUGGUUGCUUGUCUUUGAGGGUGAGAAAGUGCAGAAUCACUUGCGUCCUCCAGUACCUAUAAGUUUUUGCUUGUAUCUCCAAGUAUGGGUUCAACGAAAGUACUUCAAGAUUCUCCUUUAAUUUUCUUUAGGUUGCCUGCUUGAAUCCUUUUAUUGAUUCAAUGGACUCCUGCAGCAUGGAAAGGAAUAAGUUUGCAUUUGAGACAACAUUAGUAAGAAAGUGUUGGACCCUAUGUCGUGUCCAAUGGGGAUAGUACAUGGAUAUUGGUUAUGUAAUAUGUAGAAAACUAAUCUAAUUAAAAGCUAUGACAGAAACUUGGCACUGACAUCAUUAGCCUAUUAAUUUUAUUACCAAUUAAUCGCAUUACCUACCAUCCCAUGCUCUCCACAUUGAAUUACAUUAUACACACAUUCCCAAAAAAAUAAAAAUAGUCUUCUGUACAUUUUUAAAUUUUUUUUAGAGAUGCUUGAUAUUCUGGCUAGGUUUGUCUUCCUUUUCAUCUACUUCUCAAAUUAGAUUCCUUCUUUAUGGGUUUAGUAUUUCAAUUUACACUUUGCAUCCUACAUGGAGAAAAUGGAGAGACAACUUGUCUGACUAAGCAUGAUAAUUCUUUCCAGACACACUGAGGUCAAAUCUGUUGAUAGUAUUUCAAUUUACACCUUGCAUCGUACAUGGAGAACACAGGGACAAUAGUUGUCUGACUAAGCAUGAUAGUUCCCUCCAGACACACUGAGGUCAUAUCUGUUGAUAGUAUUUCAAUUUACACAUUGCCUCCUACAUGGAGGAAAUGGAAAAACGACAACUAGUUCUCGGAUUAAGAGCCUGUUUGGAUUGUCUUUUGACUUAUGACUUAUAUCUUUUGACUUAUUUUUGUUAUACUUUGGCUUAAGAAUAAGUGUUUAUAACUAUAAGCACUUCUUUAUUUUAUCCAAACACUACAAAACUGCUUAAAAGCUAUUUUGGCUUAAAAGCACCUAAAAUAAGCCAAUCCAAACAGUCUCUAAGCAUGAUAAUUCCUUCCGGACACUUUGAGGUCAUUUCUGUAGAUCAUCAACGGAAGAUCUGGAAAGAGGCUUUUCAACAACUUUGCCUUUUAGUAAAACCAUCCUUCUACUGGUUCCAGCAUUGCACAGUCUUGCAUUUCCAAUUUUAAAAUGCUAUGAUCACUUUAAUAUAACAUUUUUUUAGAAGGUAAAGUAAUUUUAUAAAUUAGAACAAUGCAAAGGAAGUGCUAUUGGGGACUGUGCAAUCUAGGAAAAGAACAAACAACAAAAAUGUGCCCCAUCUAAUCUUGUAGGGAUUCUAAUGUUUGUAGAUCUGUUUCAGCCUCAUUUAUGUGUUCCAUCCUACACUAUAAGCGAAACAAAAAUAUACAAUUAGACUUUAUCAUGUUGGCGGAGCUCGCAGAAUCUUCAAAACAUCUUCUAUUUCUUUCCGUCCAGACAGUCCGCCAAAUACAUGCAGGUAUAGUAUUCCACCAUAGUAGCUUCCUCUUCCUUGGGCCUUUUCUGGCCAGCACUUCAGUAGAUCAUUUAUUGAUCCUGGCAUGAUCUGUUGCAAUGCAAUCAUUUAGGCUUCCACAAUUGCAUAAUUACUCUGAAUGUCUCUCACACAGAAAGCACUUGCUACAUAGGUCAGAGCCUCUUUUUGGAGAUUCUCACGAAUGAGACAAGCUUCUUUACACAUUACCAUUUAAAUCAAGCUACCUUGAAUGGAGCUUUGGAUCUCCAGAUCUGUUUCCAUGGCAAAGGACUUGGUAAGUUCUCCGGUUUUGUUAAAAUUUUGUAGCAUGAUCUCACUGUGAGCAGACCCUUUUUUCUAGGGAUCCAUGUUAUGUUGCCUUCUGUAUUAGUGUGCUGCUGAUGUGUUCAAAAGACUGAAAAAAUCAACAGCCCAGUUUCAACUGUCAUAAGCUGGCUCUCUCAUCUUGCUCUUGUCCAAGCUAGUUACGCAAUUGCACGUUGCUUACUUGGUUUGGUGUUUAAAAGGUUUGACUACUACUCUCUUAUCCCAUACACUAGCAAAUCUUCAGGUUAAGGUGGAUUGGAAUUUGCUUGGGGCAUAGUGGCUGGGAGGCCUUAACCUUAUAGCUAUUAGCCGUGAAUAUAUCCUGUUCGAUUGUACUUGGACCUUAAACGUUUUAAUAGAUUUAUUCAGCAUGUUUGUCUGAUUUACCUCUUGACAGAUUAAGGAGCACUGCCAUCAGAAUAACACUUUGAAUUGAAAGGAAUCAACUUUUUAGUUGAGUGUGGCUUGGGUUACGUACUUAUGUUGGAUGGUAGCAUAAAAUGGGUGAAGAGAAAUAGAGAUAAAGUGUAGCAAGAAGAGUACCCUUCUGAAUCUUAUGUGGAUUUCUUAUGAUGUUUGUGAACAGUAAUGCUGAAUCAUAAAAUAUGCUUUAUCAGUGUCUUGGUUAGAGGUAGCUAAGAGAUUGCGAAGGGUGAGGGAGGAGGUAAGAAUGAUAUUGAAAUGGUCUCCUAGAGUGUAUCCCAAAACUGCUGUCUCUUGCUUUUCUGUAUCUGGGUUUUGUAUGAAACUCAUGAAAUUUAUUAGCAUAGGUGAUGGUUUACCUUGAUUAUCUGCUUUUUUCUCUUAAUGUGGUUCCUUUUUUUAUUUUGGAAACUUUUCAGGUAUGGCUUGGUCUUGGAAAAACAGUUCUCACAAAUAUAUCCAAAAUCCUAAGCUUGGCCAUAUCCAGGUUUUAGAGUACACUGGUCUUAUGUAACCCAAAGACAUGUUUCCCCUUUAAGUUAAAAACUUAUCUAAACGCAGUAAACAACUGUUUUCCAAGACUUCCCAAAACUCAACUUAUGCCAAAAAAACAUUCCAGGAACUCAACAAAAAACUAACUCAGAAUGUUUUAACAUUUGAAUGGAGAAAGCACAAUUCGGAGCCCUACAGCAAUCCGUCUUGUCAAGUUAGUGCCCUUGAAUGCUGUUUAGCAUCUCGUUUUUAGUUAUCAGCUCUGGAGCAUGUAGAAAGUGCAGUAAAUUUAUUGGUCCUAAAGAUACCGUAAUUGCCUAUGCUUAAUUAUCAGCUGGGGUCUAGGUUUAUUUGUAAUUGUUUCAAUACUUUCAGGCCUUCUCUAUUGGCCAUGACUUACCACUUAAUCCUGUUUAUGUUUCCCUACUUGUUAUUGUGAGAUCUUAAGUGAUUGAAUGCUUUGAUAAUAUAGGUCAAGUUCUGAGCCCUUGAUUAUUACUACUACUACUACUUCCUUUAUUGCUAGAUUUUCUUAAAUGACUGAAUGAUUAGAUAAUAUUACAGUAGUGUCCCGUUCUUCAAAAUAUCCAUCAUUUUAGAAGUGCAUGUGAAAGAAUGCAGACUACAUUAACACUUCCCGUGGUAUUACUCUGCAAUCACAUUACUAAAUGAUGGAGCUUCACUAUCAAGUUUUAAUAGUUGAAUAUUCUAUUGUAUCAUUAUUACUUCCUCCGUUUCAAAAAGAAUGGUCUAGUUUGACUUGGAAUGGAGUUUAAGAAAAGAAAGAAGACGUUUUAAUCUUGUGGUUCUAAAUUAAAGUUAUGUCAAAUGUACCAAAUGUCCUUAAUCUUGUGGCCUUAUACAUGCCACGUGGAAAGUUGAAGUUAAAGUGUUGCCAAAAAAGGAAAGGGAUCAUUCUUUUUGAAACAGACUAAGAAGGAAAUUAGGACAUUCUUUUCGAAAUGGAGGGAGUAGUUGCUAACCCUGAGAUUCAUUAUCCUGGAAAAAGAAAGUAUUUUGGACUUUUGAUGUUUUCUGGGAAUCAACCUUUUGUUUUCUAUGUAUUCACCUUCAGCCCUCUGGUGGAUACCAAAGCUUUUGGACGAAUGCAUGCUACAGAUGCCGAAUCUUUUGAUUUGCAUUCGUUUUACAGAGGGGUGUGUGAGAGCAUUGUGAUGAGACAUCAAUGAGAUUUCUUCUCUUUUAUUCUUUUUCUGUGGUUUGAACAUUGGACAUGGUAGCAUUUGGUUUAUCACCAUAAACGAUGCAGAUUUUGGCGUCCACCAAGCUCACAAGUCACAAAGACCAGGAAAUUGAGCUCUUCGUCAGUUUUCCUUUUCUUUUUACAUAGCAGAACUGUUUUAAGUGAUAGGUUACAUGCAAUUGUUGCAACUAUGCUGGCUACAUCAGUAAAGGGGAUAGCCAUAAUCCAUAGCAUAUACAAUCGACCUUCCAGUGGUGAUUUGCAGCACAACAGUGCCUGGCACUGCGCAUUAAAAAUUCUGUUAUUUAUGGUCCAUCUAAGAAAUAAUAUUGAUUUGAUUCUUUUUUCAGAUGUGAACUUGUGGAUGGGCCUGUUUGGAUAACAUUGCCUCCAAUUUAUUAGAGUUGUGUCUAUAUGGCCACCAAAACGGGUAUGAUCAGUUUCAUUCUUCUAGUAUUCUUUUGUUUCUGUAUUUCACACGUAAGCAAAGAAAGUAAGAAAAAAUGAGCUCUUCAUAGUUCUUUUUCUUUAUUUAGUGCCGAAUUUUCAUACAUCAUCAGGGCGAUGGUAUAUUUACAACUGAUAAUGUUGCCAUGAAAGUCCCCAUAUCUACCCAGGGGCUUGAGAAAUAUAAGUAACAUACAUCUCUUCACUCUUCAGAUACUCUUAUUUCUGCAGUGCAGCAUACCGUCUCAAUGGUGUGAUCUGUAGAGGAGGAUGGUGUUGAACCGUACAAAAUUCCUAAACAACUGUUGGCGUUUUACGCUUAAUGUGCCGAGAUGUCAACUCUGACUCCGUCCCUCCAAGCAUUUCCCACAUCACCUGUACAUCUUCAUAUCCACAGGACUGUAUAUCGCCUUGAAGCUUCAAUAAUCCAGCACCUGAUGUAAACAAAAGUAAGUAAUCCAUAAAGCUACUAUCUCUAUGUUUUUCACUCUGUUCCUUAAGACUGUCCAAAUUCUUUGCAUCCUAAGUGCCAAAAUUUAUGAAGUUACAAGUUUCUCUUCUACCCUAGCUUAGUGAUAACUUAUAUUCCUCCGUCCCAAUUUAUGUGACAAUAUCUAAAACAAACACAUCUUUAAAAAGUUAGAUUGUAGAAAAAACAGGGGGAGAGGCUUUGAAAAACUAGUGCAUCUAUAUUUAGCUUCUUCCUAUAUGUUCAUUAAAUCAAGAGUAAGAGAAACACCAAAUGCGAGUAAGUUUUUUUAUGACUAACCAUCUUUACGAGGCUUGACACGAGCAGAAACAGCACCCCAAACACGUCUAACCGGAAAGACCAUUUUUUGCCACAAAUCCUCCAUCUCCUCUCCUCUACUCCUAUGUUUGGUUGAAAAUGAAAGGGUUUAUAGUGCUCUUUGUUGCAAUAAAGAAUGUAAUGACUAGAGACUAAUAAAGGAGUGAUGUGUUCCUUCCACUCUUGAGUCUUGAUGUGGGGUUUCACAAAAGCAGAUGAAUUAGUGAUAUUGACACAUAUAUAUAUGGGAAAAUAGGGAUGUAUAUGUUUGAAUAUUCUAAUAACUCUAUAAAGUAUGCAGACAAAAUUUACCCCAAUUUAGAUUUGAUUUUUUUCACUAAAGAAAUAAAAAAUAUUCACCGACGCGACCGUCACAGUGCUUGUGUAAGAGAUAUUUUAGUGCCACGAGUCACUUGUGUUGUGGCUGCGCAGGAUUGUCUUAGUUAUUAUUUGGACCGUCAAAUACGUUUGAAAUAUUUUGAAUUGUUAUAGUUUCUAAAUAUUUCAAUUUUAUUUUGAAAAAAUAUUGACGAUACUUUUUAAUUGUCAUGGUUUUUUUUUUUUAGAGUCAAACUAUAAAAACUUUGACUAAUAUUUUACGAUGUAUUUUUUCAUUAUAUUGAUAUGCAAAAAAAUUGUAAUUUAUAGUAUUUUUCAUAUAAUUUUUUAAUAUCUAAAUUUUUUAUUUAAAAUUAAAUUAAUGUAAUCUAAUUUAACAUUGAAAUUAAUUAAAUUAACUUUUGAAAAAAGUAACAUAACAAAUAAAAAUGAAUGAAAAAAAUAUAUUUGAAUUAGUUUAAUUCUCGCGGAGACCAUCAUUUUGGGAUGGAGGGAGUAUUUUCUGCUAGUGCUCGUCUUUUGACUUCUUUUCAUUCAACACAUGUCAUGUUUUCAGUGGGAAAGAGAGAAGAAAAUGGCACCUUUAUAUUAUAAUUAUAAUUAGAAAAAUUGUGUGGUUUGGACGGUUUGACUCUUUAGAUUUUUGUGCCUCAAAUCGAGAGAACAUUAUUAGUGAGCCUUUUUCUGAAAGAACAUUAUUUACAUGCGUUAUUUAUCCCAAAUAUAGUGAAAUAAAUAUUAAGAUUUUUUUUUAUAGCAUUGGCAAUUUAAUUUUGUUAUAUUUGGUGUGAGUAGGUUUGGAGUUUGGGUCAGCUAAUCAGACCAAGAUUCCUAAUUCAAGAGAUGGAAAAGGAAAGGAGUGAUAAGAAGGUCCCAAUGAGAGAGAUAUUUUUGUGUAUUGAAGAAUACGUGGAGUCUUUUUGAGGCUCUAUUAUUAUUACAACUUUCCCGUACUGUCAGCAAUGGGGUCUACCUCCACGUUUUAAUCAAUUUUUUCGAUGGAUUUUAGUUUAUGCAUUUAGUAAUCGCUCGGCGUGAGAUAUAUGGUUUAAUAAUUUUAAAAUAUAAAAUAUAAAAUUAUUUUAUCUUGUGUUUGGUUGGAG
rnacentral:lncRNA from 1 species